CUAGGCGUGCUGCUUUGUCAACAAUAAUAUGUAAUAUUAUGGUAAAAUUCCGAUUAUUCCAAUUUAAAAAUUAAAAUGGAUCCCGUUUUUCUGGUAUUCCUCCGUUUUUUUCGGUUUUUUACAUUUAUUGGGAACUUCUGAGAAAAUUGGAAAAAAAUUUAUUUUAAGUAUCUUUCCAUUGAAAUUUUCUUUUAGGAUUUAUCCUUCUUUAUCAUUAUAAGUUGUCGGAAAAUUGCUGACAGAAAAGUUGCCCACAAGAAAAAAGAAGGCCAUAAUAUUUUUAGCUAAUACCUAUAUUUCAUACAUUUUCCCUCUUUUCCUCAGUUUUUUUUUUCGCUUUUUCACAUUUGUUGAGAAACUUUAUAUCAACAAACACAAUAUAUAAUGACUAUGAAAUAUUUAAAAAAACAACCUACGUAGUUAUUUUUGAGAUGUUUGUUCUAGAAAAAAAAAAAAAGAGAAUAUUAAUAAUAGGUUUCUUUAUAAUUUUUUAUAAAUUAUAAUAACAUUAUUUAUAGUACCUAUAUAAUACAGAAAAAGAUCAUUAUUCUGUUAGGUUAGGUUGGGUUAUCUGAGUAUUAUUUCGUUUCAGAUGCCCCAUCUAUAUUAUAUGAUACUUAUAAUGAGCUUUAUUGAUAUCGAUAGUAAACUAAUUUUAUUUAUGCCGAGAUUGUUUUAAACUAAGUGGGCAAUGGUCAGUUUUCAGUGACGUGUAGAGGUGCAGUCACAAUAUCAAGGAAUGCAAAGACUAUAACAGAGCAGUUUCGCACAGACUUCUUGAUUGGCCAUAGUUAUUAUUAUAUAAAUAAUACAUUAUUUAAUAUUCAUAAAUGUAAAGAAUUUAUUUUAUAGACAAAUAAUAUGAUUUAGGAAUAUAAUAGUUUAUAUUAUUCCCAAUCAUGAUACUAUGAAAUGGAGCUCAUUAAAGUAGUAUAAUUCAAUACAGUACACCGAUGAUGUUUAAACUCAAUACGGAUAUUGUGGUAUGAUUAGGUACAUAAACUUGGGACAAAACUAAAUCAUAAAACUGAAACCUGUUUUACACUUGAAACUAAAUCAUGACAAUUUGGAAGGAAAAUUAUUUAUUAUGUUUAGUACGACCGGUAUAUGAUGAUGAAAAAGGAACAUAGAGAAGAAAAUAUAACAGGGUGUUAUAGGAAGAAAUAAACAUGGUUUUAGUAGUAAUCUUCAUAGGAGGACAAAGGAUCAAAAAUAAAAACGGCUUGCAACGUGUGGCUGCGAAAUGAGGAUGAUAUUAAUAAAGCAGUGCUGGAAUGAAAGCUAACGGUAAAGAAACCCGAG